rnacentral:lncRNA from 1 species
GGCAGGUCCUGUUAAUUUCCCCCAAACCAAUUCUUUUAGCUAUAAACAAAGGCAUUAGAUUAAUACUAGAACCUAGAUCUCACAAUGCUCUUUGAAAAGAAAUAGUGCCAAUGGUUCAAGGAAUAGAAAACAUCCCUGGAUCCUUUCACUUAGGUGGUAGUUGCCUUUGUGUUGUUGCACUGCACUCCUCCGUCAAUUUCACCAUCUCAAUAUCUUCGAAAUAUAUCUUUUUGCUUAAGAUUUCCUUGAGGAACUUUCCAUAGCUCGACAUUUGCUCUAGUGAUUCGCUAAAUGAAACGGUAAUUUGUAGUUUCUUGAAAAAAUUUCAAGAAAUUUGGAGAACUAUGCAUCCUUCUUAUUUUUCUUCAGGCGUUGCGGAAAAGUAAUCGGCGAAACGUGGGAUUUUGGAAUGAGAUUUGUGGAUGGUGGUUGCUCAGUUUUUGCUGAAUUUCUAGUGUAGCUCAUGGCGGCGAGUUGCGGUGGUCCAACAGCGGAAAGGCUAUUUUCAUAAGCUUUUUCUGUAGAUUUCAGCUGCUGUUGCUGCUUUUCUGUGUCUAAAUCUACAUAUGUUUUUAUGGGCC